rnacentral:rRNA from 1 species
AGAGUUUGAUCAUGGCUCAGGAUGAACGCUAGCGGCAGGCUUAAUACAUGCAAGUCGUGGGGCAGCAGGUCCCGCAAGGGAUGCUGGCGACCGGCAAACGGGUGCGGAACACGUACGCAACUUUCCUUCAAGCGGGGAAUAGCCCAGGGAAACUUGGAUUAAUACCCCAUAAAUUUAUGAGAUGGCAUCAUCUUAUAAUUAAAGCUCCGGCACUUGAAGAUGGGCGUGCGGCUGAUUAGGUAGUUGGCGGGGUAAUGGCCCACCAAGCCUACGAUCAGUAACUGGUGUGAGAGCACGACCAGUCACACGGGCACUGAGACACGGGCCCGACUCCUACGGGAGGCAGCAGUAAGGAAUAUUGGGCAAUGGACGCAAGUCUGACCCAGCCAUGCCGCGUGGAGGAUGAAGGUCCUCUGGAUUGUAAACUUCUUUUAUCUGGGAAGAAAUCCAUAUUUUCUAAUGUGGUUGACGGUACCAGAUGAAUAAGCACCGGCUAACUCCGUGCCAGCAGCCGCGGUAAUACGGAGGGUGCAAGCGUUAUCCGGAUUCACUGGGUUUAAAGGGUGCGUAGGCGGAUUGGUAAGUCCGUGGUGAAAUCCCCGAGCUUAACUUGGGAACUGCCGUGGAUACUAUCAGUCUUGAAUAUCGUGGAGGUAAGCGGAAUAUGUCAUGUAGCGGUGAAAUGCUUAGAUAUGACAUAGAACACCAAUUGCGUAGGCAGCUUACUACACGAUCAUUGACGCUGAGGCACGAAAGCGUGGGGAGCAAACAGGAUUAGAUACCCUAGUAGUCC